UACCAGCACCCCGAGUGGUCGGGACGUUUAUUGGGCCUAAAGCAUCCGUAGCCGGUUCUACAAGUCUUUCGUUAAAUCCAGCUGCUUAACAGAUGGGCUGCGGAAGAUACUAUGGAGCUAGGAGGCGGGAGAGGCAAGCGGUACUCGAUGGGUAGGGGUAAAAUCCGUUGAUCCAUUGAAGACCACCAGUGGCGAAGGCGGCUCACUGGCCCGGUACUGACGCUGAGGUGCGAAAGCGUGGGGAGCAAACAGG
rnacentral:rRNA from 1 species